UUUAAUUGAAGAGUUUGAUCAUGGCUCAGAUUGAACGCUGGCGGCAGGCCUAACACAUGCAAGUCGAGCGGUAACAGAGAGAAGCUUGCUUCUCUGCUGACGAGCGGCGGACGGGUGAGUAAUACUUGGGAAUUUGCCUUUAGGCGGGGGACAACCACGGGAAACUGUGGCUAAUACCGCAUAAUGUCUACGGACCAAAGUGGGGGACCUUCGGGCCUCACACCUAAAGAUGAGCCCAAGCGGGAUUAGCUAGUUGGUGGGGUAAAGGCUCACCAAGGCGACGAUCCCUAGCUGUUCUGAGAGGAUGAUCAGCCACACUGGGACUGAGACACGGCCCAGACUCCUACGGGAGGCAGCAGUGGGGAAUAUUGCACAAUGGGGGAAACCCUGAUGCAG
rnacentral:rRNA from 1 species